UACGGGGGGGGCAAGCGUUGUUCGGAAUUACUGGGCGUAAGGGGCUCGUAGGUGGCCAACUAAGUCAGACGUGAAAUCCCUCAGCUUAACUGGGGAACUGCGUCUGAUACUGGAUGGCUUGAGUUUGGGAGAGGGAUGCGGAAUUCCAGGUGUAGCGGUGAAAUGCGUAGAUAUCUGGAGGAACACCGGUGGCGAAGGCGGCAUCCUGGACCAACACUGACACUGAGGAGCGAAAGCCAGGGGAGCAAACGGG
rnacentral:rRNA from 1 species